CCCUUGAGUUUGAUCAUGGCUCAGAACGAACGCUGGCGGCAGGCCUAACACAUGCAAGUCGAGCGAAGCCUUCGGGUUUAGCGGCGGACGGGUGAGUAACGCGUGGGAAUAUGCCCUUUGGUACGGAACAGUCCCGGGAAACUGGGUUUAAUACCGUAUGUGGUCCUUCGUAGUGGAUACGGGGGACGAAAGAUUUAUCGCCAAAGGAUUAGCCCGCGUUGGAUUAGGUAGUUGGUGGGGUAACGGCCUACCAAGCCGACGAUCCAUAGCUGGUUUGAGAGGAUGAUCAGCCACACUGGGACUGAGACACGGCCCAGACUCCUACGGGAGGCAGCAGUGGGGAAUCUUAGACAAUGGGGGCAACCCUGAUCUAGCCAUGCCGCGUGAGUGAUGAAGGCCUUAGGGUUGUAAAGCUCUUUCAGCUGGGAAGAUAAUGACGGUACCAGCAGAAGAAGCCCCGGCUAACUCCGUGCCAGCAGCCGCGGUAAUACGGAGGGGGCUAGCGUUGUUCGGAAUUACUGGGCGUAAAGCGCAUGUAGGCGGACCAGAAAGUUGGGGGUGAAAUCCCGGGGCUCAACCCCGGAACGGCCUUCAAAACUAUUGGUCUGGAGUUCGAGAGAGGUGAGUGGAAUUCCGAGUGUAGAGGUGAAAUUCGUAGAUAUUCGGAGGAACACCAGUGGCGAAGGC
rnacentral:rRNA from 1 species